rnacentral:tRNA from 2 species
UCCUCCUUAGCUCAGCCGGUUAGAGUCAUGGAAUUCCAUGAUUAAUCAGAGGGUCGUAGGUUCAAGUCCUACAGGGGGAG